rnacentral:lncRNA from 1 species
CUGAAUGUGAAUGGACACUGAAAGGUAACCACUCAGAAAGCAGCUGAUUGGGGCACUCAAUUACCACUAAAUAAUUCAGCAUCUCUAAUGGAAAUCAGAUCCAAUGUUUCCCCAGUGAAGGAACAGCCUUUCUUGGUUACCCAAUACUCAGCUAGCUACUCAAGGGCUUUAGAGAAAAACAAUAAAGUAAAAAGGAAGAGAAUAUUGAUUUCCCAGUCUUGGCCACCAGCCCCACC